rnacentral:rRNA from 1 species
AUUGAACGCUGGCGGCAGGCCUAACACAUGCAAGUCGAGCGGACGAAGGGAGCUUGCUCCUGGAUUCAGCGGCGGACGGGUGAGUAAUGCCUAGGAAUCUGCCUGGUAGUGGGGGAUAACGUCCGGAAACGGGCGCUAAUACCGCAUACGUCCUGAGGGAGAAAGUGGGGGAUCUUCGGACCUCACGCUAUCAGAUGAGCCUAGGUCGGAUUAGCUAGUUGGUGGGGUAAAGGCCUACCAAGGCGACGAUCCGUAACUGGUCUGAGAGGAUGAUCAGUCACACUGGAACUGAGACACGGUCCAGACUCCUACGGGAGGCAGCAGUGGGGAAUAUUGGACAAUGGGCGAAAGCCUGAUCCAGCCAUGCCGCGUGUGUGAAGAAGGCCUUCGGAUUGUAAAGCACUUUAAGUUGGGAGGAAGGGCAGUAAGUUAAUACCUUGCUGUUUUGACGUUACCAACAGAAUAAGCACCGGCUAACUUCGUG